rnacentral:rRNA from 1 species
CGGGUAAUACGGGACGCACUAAGCGAAGGCAUUUGCCAAGAGUGUUUUCAUUAAUCAAGAACCGAAAGUCAGAGGUUCGAAGGCGAUUAGAUACCGCCCUAGUUCUGACCGUAAAAGAUGCCAACUACCAAUUCGCUUGUGGAUUCGAGUUCAUAAGCGAGCGGGUUUCCGGAAACGAAAGUCUUUCGGUUCCGGGGGAAGUAUGGUUGCAAAGCUGAAACUUAAAGGAAUUGACGGAAGGGCACCACCAGGAGUGGAGCUUGCGGCUUAAUUUGACUCAACACGGGAAACCUCACCCGGCCAGCACAUCGUGAGGAUUGACAGACCGAUAGCUCUUUCAUGAUUCGGUGGAUGGUGGUGCAUGGCCGUUCUUAGUUCGUGCUAACGAAGUGUCUGCUUUAUUGCGAUAACGAGCGAGACGCCGACUGCUAACUAGUGCGUCGAUUGAUUCGUUUGUCGACGAUCAUUUCUUAGCGGGAUUCGUGGUUCUUAGCCUCAAGAAAUGGCGCAAUAACAGGUCUGUGAUGCCCUUAGAUGUUCGGGGCCGCACGCGUGCUACAAUGGUGGUAUCAGCGUGAUUGUCCUACUCCGAGAGGAGAUGGCAAACAGUUGAGAUAUUAUUAUGGCUGGAAUUGAGUGUUGAAAUUUUCACUCAUGAACGAGGAAUUCCAAGUAAAUGCGAGUCAUCAACUCGCAUUGAUUACGUCCCUGCCCCUUUGUACACACCGCCCGUCGCUCCCCGGGACUGAGUUGUUUCGAGAAAUCCACGGACCGGCGUUCGCUCAUGUUUCGGCAUGUCGUUUGCUGGAAAGUGGCUUAAUCGCAACGGCUUGAACCGGGGAAAAGUCGUACACCAAGGUAGCAA